GAUAUUAGUUUUACUAAGCAUGAAGGUCUCAUGAACUUGUUGAUUAAUUAGAUUCUCUUUAAACAUUUCUUGUGUUUGGAUAUCCAUGAGAUCUUAAAAACUUUGAAACAGUAUUUCUUUAACAGUACAUUGGAGAUAUAUGCUCCCUUUUGGCUGUGAUCAAAGAUUGCCAAUCAACUGAAGAAGUUAUUAUUGUAUGUACAAUUAAAUUCUUUACACAAGCUAUGCUGAAAAGUUUGUGUUAAGGCCUUCUUGGCCAGAAAUGGUUUCUCAGCAGUUGAUGAAGGAGGGGAGGGAGAGCAGGAGGCAAGGACAACAGAAACUGGAAAGAAAGAAAAAAUAAUGCACUGAGUUGUUGCUGUGGAGAAGAAGAGCAUCUGCUGAGAGCAUGAGAGGGACUAGUUACUGUGGUUCCCAUGCCUGAAAUGAAAUGGUGGUGAUACACAAAUGUGA
rnacentral:lncRNA from 1 species